rnacentral:rRNA from 1 species
AUUGAACGCUGGUGGCAUGCUUUACACAUGCAAGUCGAACGAGUGGCGCACGGGUGAGUAAUACAUCGGAACGUGUCCCAGCGUGGGGGAUAACUGAUCGAAAGAUCAGCUAAUACAGCAUACGAUUGGAGCGGCCGAUGCCCGAUUGGCGAGUUGGUGAGGGAACGGCUCACCAAGGCGACGAUCGGUAGCUGGUCUGAGAGGACGACCAGCCACACUGGGACUGAGCUACGGCCCAGACUCCGACGCGAGCCAGCCGUGGUGAAUUUUGGUCAAUGGGGGCAACCCUGCUCCAGCCAUGACGCGUGCAGGAUGAAGCUCUUCGGAUUGUAAACUGCUUUUGUCAGGGAAGCGGUGCCUGAAGAAUAAGCACCGGCUAACGACGUGCCAGCAGCCGCGGUAAUAC